UGCAUGCUUUUACAGUAUGAAAAUUGGUGAUUUAUAAUAACUUAGCAAAUCGCAAAGUGAAAACAGGCGAUAAAUCAUUCAAGUUUCUGACCUAUCAGCUUUCGACGGUAUGGUAUUGGCUUACCGUGGCAGUGACGGUUAACGGGGGAUUAGGGUUCGAUUCCGGAGAGGGAGCCUGAGAAACGGCUACCACAUCUAAGGAAGGCAGCAGGCGCGCAAAUUACCCAAUUCUAACAGUUUGAGAGAGGUAGUAACAAGAAAUAACAAUACAAGGCAGUUAAAAUGCUUUGUAAUUGGAAUGAUAGAUAUUUAAACCCUUUUUAAAGUAUCAAUUGGAGGGCAAGUCUGGUGCCAGCAGCCGCGGUAAUUCCAGCUCCAAUAGCGUAUAUUAAAAUUGUUGCAGUUAAAAAGCUCGUAGUUGAAGUUCUGCUAAAAGUGACCGGUCUGCUUUGAAUAAAAGUGGUAUCUUGGUAUGUAUUUAGCAAUGAUGUCCUUUGAAGUGUUUUUUACUUUAUUGUAAUAAAGCAUAUUCAGGACUUUUACUUUGAGAAAAUUAGAGUGUUUCUAGCAGGCCAACGCUUUGAAUACUGCAGCAUGGAAAUAAUAAGA
rnacentral:rRNA from 1 species